GUGAAGGUGUUUUUCUCAAGCCCAAACCUUCAUGGAAAGACAGGGAAGAGCAUUUCAAGAAUCUCUGAGAAGCAACAGAAGGAGAAAUGGGAUACCUGAGCUCCAGAGACCAUUGGGAUGACUCAGGAACAUGGGAACAGCAUCCUGCAGCUCCCACUUCCAUCUGCCCUAAAAUUUGCCUUUUCCAGGCAAAACUUUCAGCAUGACAGAGGAAGUUUGGAGGCUCUAGAAGUGUUUUAGAGGCCACCCCCUCCCCAUUCACACAAACUCUCCCCCCUCAAAAAACAACUCUGGAUGGAGAAAUACUUUGGCCAAAAUCUUCUUGCUGAUAUUUUCACCUCAUUGAAGAUUUUUGUCACUUCCUGGCAAGUCUCACUUAGACAUUCUCCAUCAUCCUGACAAGUUUCACUUAGACAUUGUCCAGUUGUUCCUGGUUGUGAUCUAUCUAUUGCAUGUACUGUGAUCAUUAAGAACCUGAUGAAAAGUUCUUCAACCUCAAAAAAAACCAAAAAAAAACCCACAAAAAUCAAAGCAAAACAAAGUAAAGGGAUAAUAAGAAAACUUAAGGCUAUACAGAAUUUUAAAGAACAACAAGAAAUUUAAGAACUUCAAGAAGAGUUCAGCUGCAAUUUCUCCACUG